AGGCUCGUAAUUUAGUAGUAGAAUGCCUGGUUUACAUCCAGGAUGUCGUAGGUUCGAAUCCUACCGAGCCUA
rnacentral:tRNA from 1 species